rnacentral:piRNA from 1 species
GCACCCCUAGACACUGCCAUGGCAUCGAAGC